UAAAGUCCGUCCUCUCGACCCUGACCGUGAUGGUUGGUAAAAAUGGUUUAGACUUCAAGACCUAUUAACACAUUAUCUACACCGUCUAUUUUGCUUUUGCCCUAAAGAUAAGUGUUCAUAGAUCGAGCUGAGGCCUUAUUUUGUUUUCAUAAACCCUAAGCUUGCAUCGUGAGGAUGGGUAUGAGAGGGGGUACUUUGGUCAUUUGUGGAGUCCACAUUUGACAAAAAUCGUUAAGGGCAGUUUGGUCUUUUUCUAAGGAUAUGUGAAUCCAACCGCGAGAGGUGCCGAAAAUGGCAUUUCGAGGCCGAGAAAAGCGUAAAGAGACGGAAAAAGAGGCCGCCCGCCCGCCCGCCUGCCCGCCGUUGUACACAGAGGCAAGCGUUCAGACUCUCUCUCUCUCUCUAAGACGAUGCAAUGAAGGCGCGCUUGCGGUUGUAACCACGAUGCCACUGCGCCGCUCACUGUCGGCCGCGCCACCCCCACGACGGCUGCUGGUGGCGGAGUCCAAGCACCACCACCGCCGCCUCCGUCCGAUUCCUCUCGGCCCUUUAUUGGCUGGCACCGCUGCCAUCUUCUUGGCCCUCCUCCUCCUCGUCAUGCUUGUCCUGUUCUUGUACAGACGCAAGCUUGCGUCUCGCUGCGGGAAGACGGUCCCUGCUGAUGCGAAGCUCAGGAAAUUCAGCUACCGAGCGCUUUGUCGAGCCACCUCCUCCUUCUCCCCCACUUGCAAACUCGGCCAGGGUGGCUUUGGUGCGGUCUUUCGUGGAACGCUGCCCUCUGGCCAUGAUAUCGCGGUGAAGCUCAUGGAUGCUGGCUCUUUGCAAGGGGAGCGGGAGUUCCAGAACGAGCUCUCUGUUGCUCCGGCUCUCUGCUCGUCUCCUCUUGUUGUUGCCCCUCUUGGCUUCUGCUCCCACGGGCACCGUCGGCUCCUGGUGUAUGACUACAUGCACAAUCGUAGCCUCCAAUAUGCGCUCCUUGACCGCAAGGGCCCUGAGCUUGCGGCCUGGCCCAAGCGCCUCUCUAUAGCCCGUGACAUUGCACAUGCCUUGCAUUUCCUGCACGCUGCCUGCGACCCCCCCAUUGUGCAUGGUGACAUCAAGCCGAGCAACGUCCUCCUCGAUGCACAAUUCACUGCUCGCCUCGCUGAUUUUGGCCUUGCCCGCCUCAAGACUGAGCCUUCUGCAUCGCCUAAUCCACCUCUCGAUGGCUGCUCACCCGAGCCUGAUGCCUCACCAGAUCCCCUGGCAUCACCAUCCGGUGCUCCUCUCCCAGCUGACUGCAAGAGUGUCGAUCAGGAGACUGAGUUGGAGGAGAAGACGAGCGUGUUCUCUGACAACACUAGCAUUGACAGUGGCACAACACCAAAGCCGGGUUGCCGGAACAAGAGCAAGGACUGGUGGUGGCGGCAAGAAUCAGGCGUGAAGGAGGAGUACGUGAUGAAAUGGAUUGGGACUGAGAUCAAGAAGGACCCACUCAGGGCCAGUGGUCGCUGGGCCGACAACGAUAGUGGCAAACAAAAGAAGCAGCAGCGGAGGCGGGUGGACUGGUGGGCGUCGCUCGACGAGGGGCGGCUUCGGAGGAAGAAAGAGAGGGUGCGGCGUGCCAGAGAGUGGUGGCGAGAGGAAUUUUGUGACGAGCUGAGCAAGAAGAGCAGGAAGCGCUGCAAGGAGUCCGCAGACCCCCGCUUCUGGUGGCAGGAUGAGGCCUCAAAUUCAGGCAAGACGCGGCGCAAAAGGAAGAGCUGGAGCAGCAGGGGUAGCAUGGACUGGUGGACGGACGGGCCCAGUGGUGAGAUCCCAAAGAGCGGAGGCACAGUGAGCAGCACACCAAGCAUGAGGGGCACUGUAUGCUAUGUUGCCCCUGAGUGUGGAGGCGGGGCCUCAGCAUUAUCGGAGAGGACUGAUGUGUACAGUUUUGGGGUUUUGCUAUUGGUGAUUGUUUCAGGGAGAAGGCCACUGCAGGUGGCAGCUUCUCCUAUGGCUGAUUUUGAGAGGGCAAACCUAAUAUCAUGGGCACGGCAUCUCGCACAUGUCGGGAAGCUUCUGGAACUGGUGGAUCCGGCGUUGCACGCAUUUGAUCGAGCCGAGGUCCUGCUAUGCAUUACAAUUGCGCUGCUCUGCCUGCAGCGUGAGCCGGUGCGGCGCCCCUCAAUGGGGGAGGUGGUGAAGAUGCUGGAGGGGGAGGCGGAGCCACCAGUUCUCCCUUUCGAGUUCUCGCCUUCUCCGCCAUCUGGGUUUUCAUUCAGGUCCAGGCGCAAGGCUCAUUCAAAUAAUCCUCCAGAGCACCGAAUUUUGGUGGAUCAGAGUCAGACAGACAUUUCUGGCCUAAAUGAUCCCAUUUGAUCGAGACCCAUGCUCGAGAUACCAGGGAUUAUUAAUCCAAUGGAGUUGUUUUGAGGGGGAAUGUAGUAAAAAGUUUGCUCUGGGCCACAAUGUAAAAGACACUGAUACGAAGUGAUGGCGAGCACCGAACCACUACUGUCGUUGGGACUGCAGACACAAAGUUCGUCUUGGAUUUCAGGGAUCCGAGGCAUCGUUGAGAAUACUGCAUACGAACCUGAGCACACCAAAAAUGGGAGAAAAAUACUUGCACAUGCCAUGGAUAUAUUUAAAAUGCUGUGAAGCUCUAUUGUUUGACCUGUACUCAUCAAUUCAGAAGUGAUAGGAUUGUCGGAUAACUUCAAAGAAAUUACAAAACAAAUUUGAGCAAUUAGUUCAAAACGCAGCAGAGGUUGAAACCAAAGAAGAAAAAUGUUUUGUGUGGGGGAAGACAGGCUACAUUUCGCAAGAGGUUGCUGAUACGAAGCAAUGAAACGAAGCAAAAGAUGACCAGAGAAAAGUAUGUUGCAUUAUUUCAAAAGUGAACACAAUGGGAAAUGAGCAGUGAGAGGGACUGGGGAUGGACUGUGGAGUUGUUAAAAUUUUCCAAACGAUAAUAGCAUAAUAUGUGAAGAAUCCAACGAAAUUUUUAGGAUUGGAUAUACGUUCUACAUGGGUACAGAAGAAGUAGAAAAGAGAACUCAAACAUGGAGGUUUAGUUUUAGAAACCCCUCGAGGAUGUACGCACUGGGUUCUUGAAUAAUGCUCGAGGAAAAUGUGGUUUGUGGAUUUUCAUCUCAAUUUCCUCUUGUUGAAGUACGGAAAAUUUUGACAUUUAACUUGUUUGGUUGGAGUAUAGAUUUAUGUUAGAUUUAGUAUUGAGUUCAAUACAAGGUUUACAAAAAUGCAGAUUCAGAUCAGAACUGGCCGAUCUAGAUUGGGAAUCAUUGGGGGCGGACCAGGGACGGCUAAAUAUUGGGAACUAGCUGGUUCCCCUCAUGAGAUAGCCAGUUCUGUUAGAGAAGCGGUCAGAAUGAGCACCCUUUUAUAUUUUUUUUAUUUUUUCAAUUUUUAGUUUUUUAAUGAUCCAAAUUGUCGAUUUGCUGAACCAACUACCAUGAAUGAACAGUAUCUUUAUAUCGUU